rnacentral:lncRNA from 1 species
AUGCUUCUUCUUUCGGUCGAACUGUCGCAGGUUUCAAAUGAGUUAAACAAAUAGGGAUUUGUUCCAGUGCUGUAGAGCGGAAUUUUCCAAUACUCAUAACCUCAGAGAACUACGCGCAUCAAUAAAUUGCUAAAUUCAGACUUCCCUACAUGGGGGUUUAGCUAUAUAUAAUUCUCCUUUUUUUACUCUGUUUAAAUAAUGGAGAAAAUUAAAUCCAGCUCAGUAUGCAUGUAAGAAUAAAGGGGGAACUCUUCAAUGUGCAGGAUGUUUUGCCUGAGAAACACUGACUUUGACUUUGAGGACUGAUAAUCGAAUAUUCGGGGUCUUGAGCUGAUCAAGCUGUUUCUUCCCACGACAAAGAGAGUUUGAACGAGUUGCCCGCAAGAACCCUCUGUAUCCCAGAAAGCCUUGACCCACUGUCCCAUUG